UACGUAGGUGGCGAGCGUUGUACGGAAUUACUGGGUGUAAAGGGCGUGUGGGCGGGGGCUCAAGUCGGAUGUGAAAUACCGUGGCUCAACCACUGGGCUGCAUCCGAAACUGUGCCUAUUGAGUAACGGAGAGGAAAGUGGAAUUCCCAGUGUAGCGGUGAAAUGCGUAGAUAUUGGGAGGAACACCAGUGGCGAAGGCGACUUUCUGGACGGUAACUGACGCUGAGGCGCGAAAGCGUGGGUAGCAAACAGG
rnacentral:rRNA from 1 species